rnacentral:pre_miRNA from 1 species
CCAGUACUUUCUCCGUCUCAAAAUUCUUAUUUUAAAUUUAUCUAGAUAUAAAUGUAUCUAGUCAUGUUUUAGUAUUUAGAUACAUCAAUUUCUAAACAAAUCUAAGACAAAAAAAUUUAAACGGAGAAAGUAUAUG